rnacentral:lncRNA from 1 species
UCGGAUGACUUUUCAUGAAGAAAAAGAAAUGGAAGGAAAUGCAAGGAGAAACCUCAGGGAAGGGGUAUCUGCAAGUGGACUCUGGACGCUAGAGGUCAAGGCAAGAAGAGGGGAUGCUGAGGGCUUUGCCCAAGGCCACAGAAGGGUGUGGAGAGUGGCAUGCGCGCCGGGACUCCCCCGCCCUGAGUGGCCACGGUGCGGGGCUGGCCCCGCCUGUGUCAUCUCCUCCACAGCUGUGUUUCUAGUGAGGGCUGGGGAGAGAAGGUGAGCAGAAGAAUCAAGUAAAACCUGCUAGUAGUCCCUCUGUCUGUCACCGGUGAGGGUGGCCGGCCACCACACUCUAGUGCGCAGCCUUCACAGCUCUGGGGUGUGCCCACGUGGAGCCUAUGGCCCUGCCCUGAGCCUCUGCUGGAGUGGCUGCCACAGGCCUCUGGGGCCUUUGUCUUUCUAAGUUUCCCUGCAAAGCGCAGGGUGUUAGGGACUCUGCGAAGACUUCAGGCUGUACCCAGCGCAGCUGGGGUCUGCAUCAGAGACGACAGGGGUGCCCUGCAGGAACGGUUCCCCAUUGCCUCCUGCCCAACCCAGUCGUUACCUGGCACUGACACGGAGCUGAGAGGGCUUUGAGGACAAAGGGGCCAGGGCUGGAUGACACGCAGGUGCGGCCUCGGUGCUCACCCAAGCUUUGGGUAGGGGAGGACAGAGCAAAACAAAACCCAAAAGAAUAAGCUUCCUAACGUUUGAGCAACACUCUGGACUGGAUGCACAAUGUUUCCCCUCCACGCUUCCCUCACUUUCCCAUCUUGCAGGGGGCACGAAAGUGAAUGUUUCAAGCUCACUUCAAGGAGUUUCAGAGGGAAACUGAGUCCCAGGGACGAAGCAGAAUUUUGGCAGCCUGGCUGAUCCGUGGGGCAAAGGAGUUACCCGUCUGGCUUUUCCUGUUUAACUUGGCCUGCACUUUCCCUCAAGGUUAAAUCCAAGCCGUACUCGGGCUACGAAAGGGAAAUGCACUCUUUAGAGAAGGACCUCUCGGCCCACCUGGGCUUCCGCCUCUACCCUGCAAGAGUGUGGGGCAGCAGGGUGGAGGCCCGGGUCCCUGGCAGUGCCCAAGGGGGGCAGCAGGUCUGGGCCUAGGAUCCCAGGUGAUCAGCCAUGGCAGCAAAGGUGACAGUGGUGCAGGGAGCACUCCCAGGCCUGGGCCCCAGCCGGGUCCCACUUCCUGUGGGAAGCUCUGAGGCAAUUUCUGCCACGUGACUGCAGACACCAGGAGCCGACAAGGAGCAGCACCUGCUGACAGCCUCCGCUAACACUCGCAGCCCCCCUGUCCCCCAGAAAAAGCAGUGGCAUCAGACCAGGACCCCAGAGCCAGCCCGGGCUGUCACGCACACCACGAUCACCAUGUGUCACUUCCAAGCAGAAGGACCCUGUGCAUUCAGAGUGCAGCCCUGAUGCACACACACACGCUGGAAGGAUAUAUUACUUUACUUUGUGGAACUGGAAAAUUUCUUUAAUUCAGUCUAUGCUCGUAUAACACAAAUGUUUGAGAAUCCACCACCCACCCCACCUAGUGCUCAGUUGGGCCCGAGCAGCAGCAGCCAGCCACGUCAACGUGCAGAGCUGCUAGGUAGCAUCUUCAAACAGGUAAAUGAAGAAAGGUAACAUUUAUGCACAUGUGUGUAUACAUAUAUAUAGGAAACCACGGCGUUCUUCGUUCUGGCCCAAGGUAACACAUCACACAUUUGGUGUUGUUCAGUAAAUACCAGCAAGCGCAGGGUGUCACUGAAGGGUCCAAGCUGUCCCCAGGAUGAAUGGUGAUGAACUAUCAGGUCACCAGGAAGAAUAAAGAAUAUGCUCACCUGUGGAAUUGUAUUUCCAAUAUAUGCGUAUAUAUGCAUGAGUGUUUGCGUGUGUAGGCGUGAGUGUGGUGUGUGUGUGUGUGUGCACGCGUACUCAGUGAGUUGCUGCAGUAGAAAACAUUGGUUUAAUUCUGUUCAUACUAAGCAUGUUAAAUAAAUCAGGUUUCAUAACCUAGAACACAAUUCUUUUUUUAAAAAGGAACAUUGAAGAUCUUCAAAAAUUACUACAGUACAAAAAAAGUGUGUGUGUGUGUCUGUUGGUAUUUAUAUAUUUAUAUAUGUAUAAUAACCAGAAAUAGUGACUCUAUCGGAAGAGAUUCCCACCCCUGUUUUCUGUAAGAUUUCUAUGCGUGAUUCGCUCGGCUGCGGCUCUGGGCCGGGCCUCUCGGGUCGGUUCAUGGCACAUAAUGGUAUUAUUGGCACAGGUUCAGAAUCGUGGUCCCAAUCCCAGGCGUCGAUGCCUCCUCCUGUCCCGUCCGCGUGGCCACCUGGUCUCUUUCUCCAGUCCCCUCUUGUGUGUCUUUGCUCUAUUCUCCAAAGAAAACUCCAGGGAAGGCAGUCACCCAUAGGCGUGAGCAUCUUUACAAAAAUAUAUUUGGCCUAGAGCGCCUGCUAUGCGAGUUUCCCACCGGCAGACAGAAGCAGCAGGUGCGGGACCCUCCCCCUCAGAUAGUUUAGUUUUAGGUUUUGUGUUUGUGUUUUUGUUUUUACAGGUUCACCAACGGAAUCCUAUGUGAAAAAAAAACAAAAAGAGAUUAAAUGCCAGUGGGGCCAGGCAUGGCCAGGCUGUGGGGCCCCCGCCACAUGCAGAGCCCAGUGCCCUCCUGCUCGGCCAGCAGAUGCCCGGGUGGUCAGGAAAGGGAAGGUGUCACCUGAGAACUGGAGCUCCCUGCGGCCAGGGAUGGGGAGAAACUCAUGGGUCACAACAGAAGAACCCCCUGGCUCUCCCCGGGAGGAGGCCUUGCUGGAGAGAGGAGGCAGGUUAUACCUGCCUCACCUGUAUGUACAUAGGCCAGGUGAGCUGCCUGCAGCAGGUGCAGGGGAAGGGGUGCCACCCCAGCCUGUGGGUGCCCUAGGAAGUAAGGGGCUCAGUCCCCCAGCAGUAGGGACCCAGCAGGUCAGCCUGGGCCAGGCAUCAGAGGGUACCAGGGCUCCUGGGUGUGGACAGGGACUGGAGCCCAUCCCAGCUCUGCAGGUGGACAGGUGUGCUCAAAGGGCACCUAGGGUAUGGGGAUGGGUGCCUCAGAGCUGCCCCCGGCACCCCAUGGCUGCCGGUAGAAAGGAAAUGCCACACAUCCUGCAGGUGAGGAAGAGGGUGGGGGUGUCAAGGGUCCCUGGAUGAGGUCUGGAGAAGCCCUCAGCUGGAGCUUGGGUGGCCAGACAGGCUCCACCCUUCACUUUCAGAUCCACUCAGAAAUGACUCCGGGCAACUGUGGAGGCCCAGAGCCUCCUCCCAGCCGGGCCUGUGAACAUGUGUCUAAGAGCUCUCCAGGAAGUCAAUCCAAGGACAGCCAGAUGGGGAACAGCUGUCCCCAGCCGACAAGGGUGUGGCAUUCUUCCACCCCAUGACUAGGGAGAUGGAGGGCUGCAGGCCACCAGGUGGGACAAGGUGAAGGACCCAAGAUGCAUGCCAGGCUUGGCCGGCAUGGCUGGUGGCCCCAGCAUAGCUGCUCCUGCUCAGCGCUGGCUCCUUGUUGUUCCUGGAGCCCCAGCUCUGCAGGACUGGGGGCAGGCUCCUUCCGAGGCCUCCCAGUUUGGGCCACAAGGGCCAGACCCCUGAGUGUCACCUCAGCCUGCCUGUCGCCCCAAGUGAUACCCAAAUGGGCAGCUCUAAGAGGCCCAGACUGGUGCUGCUGUGAGAACACCCACCUGCUGGGGCACUGGUGCCACCAUGCAUGAAGAAAUGGGACCUCCUGUCACAUGAGCACGGACCCCUCUUGGUAGCAUUACCCCAGUGACCUCACCCACCCAACCUCCACAUUUCCCGGACGUGGAGGGAAGAAAGGUUUCAGAAACCCCAAGAGAACCACCCCUCCCACACACCCUCUCCG